AAAUAUUUUUAGCUACUAAGCACACACUCUGGUCUGCUAUGUUUUGCCUUAUAAUUUUUUUUUUGUGCACAUUUUAGAUGCCUGCUUUUGGGUUUUGCAUUAUUCUGUGGUUUCCUGCCCACUUGCUCCGCCCUUUAAUUGCUCCACCAGCACUCAGUCUCCGCUGCCUGCCAAGGCUGGCUCCCCCUUUUCCUAAUAUCCCCGGCUCUCCCCAAGGGCCGUCCUUAAUCCAAAGUGCUCUCCAAUGCUUUGCAAAAUUGAACCCCCUCUGUUUAUCCUGCCCCCUCCCCUCAAUGUCCGUGGCAGUUAUCUCACUUGGGCUCCCAUUUCCUGCUCUUAUUCUUGGCUCCCUGCCAGUCAUCACACAUUCACAUGAAAUCCUGCCUCUCCUCACCGAAGGGAAAGGCUGUUUCCAUUCAUGGAAAGCUCAUUUGCCACAAAGAUGCUACACCCUUGCCACAGGCAGGGUGUUCUCGGGUUUCCUGACAUGCCCAGGGCAAGGUUGGAGGGCUCUGGUCCCAACAGUUAUUUACAGUGAAGGCAAGUCAGGUUAGAGAACAGUGUGGUCUUUGUGGUGCUGGGGAGAGAGCAUGGGCUGUCAAUUCUAACUGACCUGGAUUUUGGUCCAUGUACCAUUUCUUAGCCUCAAGUCAUUUAUCUGUGAAAUGAGAAUCAUCUUAUUCCCUACCUCACAGCAGUAUUGUGAGGCUCACGAACAGAAGACUCAACACAGAGCCUGGAGAAUGACAUUUGCUCCAUAACGUAUUCUAUUUUCUCCCCCUUUCAUUGAUUGCUAAGGCUUCCAGAUCAGCUAAAGUAUCAACAAGAAUGAAAAUGACACUUCAAAGGAUUUAAGUGAAGAGAGUGUCGUGAAGAUUAUUUGUAGAGAUGUGGGAUCAGAUGAGAAACACCCUGGGACCAGAAACAGCAGAAGCCCUAAUGCCUGCCAAAGGGCAAGACCAGGGUGAGCUCCUACCCACAGUAUCUGGCGAGAGCUGGAGCCCUGAGACAGGGAUGGGGCCUACUGGCACUUGGAAAGUGUACUGGGGUCUUAGUGAACUGAUGUCAUUUCCUCUUCUCUUCCCCAGGAUUUGAGAUUUCUAAAAACAACAACAACAACAACAACAACAACAACAAAACCCUAUACAAAUCUAAAUUAGUUAAAAAAAAAAAAACUAAAGUGGUUGGAUGGGAGCUAUGGCUUAGGAAGAGAAACACAGCCCAUCAAAGAGGGACUAGGGAUUUAAAUAACCCUCUCUUCUCUCUUCCUGUCCAUGCCUUCUGUUGGGUGAAACUAGCAGCCAGAAGGCAAGGGGGCCUGGGUGGAGAUGUCCAGUGGCAUUAGCCUCCCAGGUACAGAGAGAUGCAGAGAAAGAUGCAAAAUAGACCUGGAGUAGCUGAGAAUCAUCUUGUCAUUUGUCACCUAUUAGCCAGUUGCUUUGUCCAAGGCCUUGAGCCUCAGUUUUCUAUAGAGUGGGCAUCAAACUUGUCUACCUCUUGUCUGCCUCACAGGGCCAUGGGGAACAGCCAGUGAAAGUGUUAAAAUCAUUCGCUUGCCAUUUGACCCUCUUCUUCAUCUGCAUUAUCUCACUUAAUUCCUCAACAGCCGGGUAGGGUAUAAGGCAGAGAGGCCAGGGGACAAGGACAGGCAGGCACUUUGGAAUCAGAAGAAGAGGUCAUCAACUGUGGCUCAGCCAAGCUUUUUAACUGUGAGAUCAUGGGAAACUGAAGCUCUCUGAACCUCAGCUAUUGUCUUACUUUGAGCUCCCCCAAAAUCACAUCCUGAGACAAAUAUUUGAGUGCAAAUAGUUCAUUUGGGAGCUGAUCCCAGGAUGCACCAGGAGGGACUGGGCAGGGACUCAGAAAAGGGAAGAAACCCAAUUAUUGGUGUAUUCACAAGUGGGCAACUCGGUCUCAGUGCCACAACUGUGAUGAAGACUGUGCAGGACACAUCCUGGGGUUGGUGGAAUGCAGGGUGCGGGUGCUGGGGUGUUUAUUCACCACCUUCCAUCCCUCACUGGCUGAGGGUUGUUCUUGGAAGUUUUAACUCCCUGGCCAUUUCACACUGCCUGCUGUGGCCAGAGGAGACUCAAGCAGCCAGAGAGUGCCAUGGGGUGGAGACACACAGGAAGCCACAUAGAUGCCCUCCAGCAUGGGCCAGGAGGGAAUGUCUGGGGGACCGACAGCAUCCGUUUUGUUUUUCUAAUUUGUAUGCUAGAGAUGAUGUCUAUGUCACAGGACAGUGACAGAGAUGAAAUGAUUAAUGAUUAAAUGGCUAAAUGUCUUCCAAGUGCCUGGCUCAUAGUAGGUAUCCAAAGAAAAGGAGGCAUUCAUAGUAAAGAUGGGUAAAUAUUCAUGUGUUACAGAUGGAAGCAAAUGGGACUCAAAGAAGUUAAGACAUUUGCCCUAAAUCACACAGACAGUUCUUAAAUGGCCAAGUCAGAUCUGGCCCCAGUUUGUUCCCCUUCCACUCUGCCGUGGCUACCUCCUGUUAAUGGACUAUACAUUUAGAGUGCUUUUGCCUCAUAAAGUGUGUGAAGCUCCAUAAAUAUAAAAUGUUUGUAGUCCCAGCCUUGCUAGCUCAAAUCCAAGUUAAAUUGACUCUUGGGUAGUUCUUCUCUCAGCCCCAAUUCUCAUAAGCUCAAAUAUAUAUUUUCUUAGUCCCCUGGGAUCCUCCAUUCUGUGCCCCAACAAUCCCUAACCCUUCAUUAGUAAUGCCUAGAUGUCUCCACAUAUUUCAAGGGGUGCCAGAAAGUCUCCAGACAAAAUAAAAGAUGCCAUAAAACACCAAGUGCAUAAAACUCUAGACACCUUGUUCUCCAUGUCAUGUUUCCUUUUAAAAACAAAUAUUUUGAAAUGCCCUCUUUACUAUCCUGCUGAUACACACAUAAAAACUAAUAAAAUGCACAAACUCUUUUCUUAAAAAUUGUGGGAAGAUAUACAUAAUAAAAAAUUUACCAUUUUAACCACUUUCAAAGUGUAUGGUUUUGUGUUUUUUAGUACAUUCAUAUUGUUCUGCCACCAUCGCUACCAUCUAUCUCCAGAAAUUUUUUCAUCCUCCCAAACUGAAAACCUGCAUUCCUUAAACACUAAUUCCCCAUUCCCCUCUCCUUCCAGCCCUGCAACUACCAUUCUACUUUGUGUCUCUAUGAAUUUAACCAUUC
rnacentral:lncRNA from 1 species